rnacentral:rRNA from 1 species
ACUGAACGCUGGCGGCAGGCCUAACACAUGCAAGUCGAGCGGGGUUUUCGGACCUAGCGGCGGACGGGUGAGUAAUGCGUAGGAAGCUACCCGAUAGAGGGGGAUACCAGUUGGAAACGACUGUUAAUACCGCAUAAUGUCUACGGACCAAAGUGUGGGACCUUCGGGCCACAUGCUAUCGGAUGCGCCUACGUGGGAUUAGCUAGUUGGUGAGGUAAUGGCUCACCAAGGCGACGAUCCCUAGCUGGUUUGAGAGGAUGAUCAGCCACACUGGAACUGAGACACGGUCCAGACUCCUACGGGAGGCAGCAGUGGGGAAUAUUGGACAAUGGGCGCAAGCCUGAUCCAGCCAUGCCGCGUGUGUGAAGAAGGCCUUCGGGUUGUAAAGCACUUUCAGUAGGGAGGAAGCGUUGUGUGUUAAUAGUACACAGCGUUGACGUUACCUACAGAGGAAGCACCGGCUAACUCUGUGCCAGCCGCCGCCGUAAAAC